rfam:Mus musculus chromosome 11, GRC primary reference assembly.
GUGCUGAUUUUGGAAGCACAUAUUCUAAAAUUGGAAAAAUACAAAAAAGAUUAGCAUGUCCCCUGAACAAGAAUGAUACACACACACACACACACACACACACACACA